rnacentral:rRNA from 1 species
AUACGAAAGGUGCGAGCGUUGUUCGGAUUUACUGGGCGUAAAGAGAGUGUAGGUUGUUUAUUAAGUCGGAUGUGAAAUCCCGGGGCUCAACCUCGGAACUGCAUUCGAUACUGGUAGACUAGAGUUCGGGAGGGGUAAGCGGAAUUCCGUGUGUAGCAGUGAAAUGCGUAGAUAUACGGAGGAACACCUGAGGCGAAGGCGGCUUACUGGACCGAUACUGACACUGAGACUCGAAAGCGUGGGUAGCAAACAGGAUUAGAUACCCCAGUAGUCC